rnacentral:rRNA from 1 species
CCUACGGGAGGCAGCAGUGAGGAAUAUUGGUCAAUGGGCGCGAGCCUGAACCAGCCAAGUAGCGUGAAGGAUGACUGCCCUACGGGUUGUAAACUUCUUUUAUAAAGGAAUAAAGUGAGGCACGUGUGCCUUUUUGUAUGUACUUUAUGAAUAAGGAUCGGCUAACUCCGUGCCAGCAGCCGCGGUAAUACGGAGGAUCCGAGCGUUAUCCGGAUUUAUUGGGUUUAAAGGGUGCGCAGGCGGAUUUUUAAGUCAGCGGUCAAAUCGUGGGGCUCAACCCCAUCCAGCCGUUGAAACUGGGGAUCUAGAGUGUGCGAGAGGUAUGCGGAAUGCGUGGUGUAGCGGUGAAAUGCAUAGAUAUCACGCAGAACCCCGAUUGCGAAGGCAGCAUACCGGUGCACAACUGACGCUCAGGCACGAAAGCGUGGGUAUCGAACAGGAUUAGAUACCCGAGUAGUC